AGUGAACGCUGGCGGUAGGCCUAACACAUGCAAGUCGAACGGCAGCACAGUAAGAGCUUGCUCUUACGGGUGGCGAGUGGCGGACGGGUGAGGAAUACAUCGGAAUCUACUUUUUCGUGGGGGAUAACGUAGGGAAACUUACGCUAAUACCGCAUACGACCUACGGGUGAAAGCAGGGGAUCUUCGGACCUUGCGCGAUUGAAUGAGCCGAUGUCGGAUUAGCUAGUUGGCGGGGUAAAGGCCCACCAAGGCGACGAUCCGUAGCUGGUCUGAGAGGAUGAUCAGCCACACUGGAACUGAGACACGGUCCAGACUCCUACGGGAGGCAGCAGUGGGGAAUAUUGGACUAUGGGCGCAAGCCUGAUCCAGCUAUACCGCGUGGGUGAAGAAGGCCUUCGGGUUGUAAAGCCCUUUUGUUGGGAAAGAAAAGCAGCAGGUUAAUACCCCGCUGUUCUGACGGUACCCAAAGAAUAAGCACCGGCUAACUUCGUG
rnacentral:rRNA from 1 species